CAGGAGCAUCGCUGGGUAGCUAUGUGUGGCAGGGAUAAACGCUGAAAGCAUCUAAGCGUGAAGCCCCCCUCAAGAUGAGAUUUCCCAUUUCUUCGGAAAGUAAGAUCCCUGAAAGAUGAUCAGGUAGAUAGGUUUGGAGUGGAAGUGUAGCGAUACAUGGAGCGGACAAAUACUAAUCGAUCGAGGACUUAACCAAAA
rnacentral:rRNA from 1 species